GGGUGCAUAGCUCAGUUGGGAGAGCGUCUGCCUUACAAGCAGAGGGUCGUGGGUUCAAGUCCUACUGCACCCA
rnacentral:tRNA from 1 species